rnacentral:rRNA from 1 species
CACCGGCGGCUCGAGUGGUGGCCACUUUUAUUGGGUCUAAAGCGUCCGUAGCCGGCUUGGCAAGUCCCCUGGGAAAUCUGGCGGCUUAACCGUCAGGCGUCCAGAGGAUACUGCCAGGCUUGGGACCGGGAGAGGUGAGAGGUACCUCAGGGGUAGGGGUGAAAUCUUGUGAUCCCUGAGGGACCACUAGUGGCGAAGGCGUCUCACUAGAACGGGUCCGACGGUCAGGGACGAAAGCUGGGGGCACGAACCGG